AAAACGGGUGGUAAUGCCGGAUGCUCCAGUUGAUCGCAUGGUCUUCUGGGAAAGCUUUCGCGGUAUGGGAUGGGGUCGCGUCCUAUCAGCUUGACGGCGGGGUAACGGCCCACCGUGGCUUCGACGGGUAGCCGGCCUGAGAGGGCGACCGGCCACAUUGGGACUGAGAUACGGCCCAGACUCCUACGGGAGGCAGCAGUGGGGAAUAUUGCACAAUGGGCGCAAGCCUGAUGCAGCGACGCCGCGUGAGGGAUGGAGGCCUUCGGGUUGUAAACCUCUUUUAUCGGGGAGCAAGCGAGAGUGAGUUUACCCGUUGAAUAAGCACCGGCUAACUACGUGCCAGCAGCCGCGGUAAUACGUAGGGUGCAAGCGUUAUCCGGAAUUAUUGGGCGUAAAGGGCUCGUAGGCGGUUCGUCGCGUCCGGUGUGAAAGUCCAUCGCUUAACGGUGGAUCCGCGCCGGGUACGGGCGGGCUUGAGUGCGGUAGGGGAGACUGGAAUUCCCGGUGUAACGGUGGAAUGUGUAGAUAUCGGGA
rnacentral:rRNA from 1 species